rnacentral:rRNA from 1 species
GACGAACGCUGGCGGCGUGCCUAAUACAUGCAAGUCGAGCGCAGGAAGCCGUCUGAACCCUUCGGGGGGACGACGGUGGAAUGAGCGGACGGGUGAGUAACACGUAAAGAACCUGCCCAUAGGUCUGGGAUAACCACGAGAAAUCGGGGCUAAUACCAGAUGUGUCAGCGGACCGCAUGGUCCGCUGAUGAAAGGCGCUCCGGCGUCGCCCAUGGAUGGCUUUGCGGUGCAUUAGCUAGUUGGUGGGGUAACGGCCCACCAAGGCGACGAUGCAUAGCGGAGCUGAGAGGGUGAUCGGCCACACUGGGACUGAGACACGGCCCAGACUCCUACGGGAGGCAGCAGUAGGGAAUCUUCCACAAUGGACGAAAGUCUGAUGGAGCAACGCCGCGUGAACGAUGAAGGCUUUCGGGUCGUAAAGUUCUGUUGUAAGGGAAGAACAAGUGCCGCAGGCAAUGGCGGCACCUUGACGGUACCUUGCGAGAAAGCCACGGCUAACUACGUGCCAGCCGCCGCAGUAA